ACUCUUUGCCCUGUUCCUUAUUCAUUUUCUUCAUUUUCAUCCGCCGGUUCUGAAACCAGAUUUUGACUUGUCUCUCACUCAGAUUGAGGAGUCUGGCCACUUCGUGCCUACGGUCCCUGGUGAGGUUGGAGACGGUGGGACCCCACGGAAAUAUCAGGGAAGCAGGACAGCUCUCUACCCUCCAGCAGGCAGAGGCCUGUGGGCCACUCUGUGGGUGGGAAAGCCGGCAGGGCAAGCAGAGUAAAGCAGAGAUUUAAAAAUCUGACCCUCACUCUCCAAAAACAGGGUCCUUGCAGGAUCACUCCUUCUCCACGGCCGCCGGUCGGCCCCGAAGUUCGGAAGCGAUUUCCUGACUCCCCGUGAGGCGAACAGCUCCGGCUGGAGCUAGGGAGCCCCAAGGAGAGCAGCGGGGACCGCAGAAAAGG
rnacentral:lncRNA from 1 species